AUUGAACGCUGGCGGCAUGCCUUACACAUGCGAGUCGAACGGCAGCACGGGUGCUUGCACCUGGUGGCGAGUGGCGAACGGGUGAGUAAUACAUCGGAACGUACCUUAUCGUGGGGGAUAACGCAGCGAAAGCUGUGCUAAUACCGCAUACGCCCUGCGGGGGAACGCGGGGGAUCGAAAGACCUCGCGCGAUUAGAGCGGCCGAUGCCUGAUUAGCUUGUUGGUGGGGUAAAAGCCCACCAAGGCGACGAUCAGUAGCUGGUCUGAGAGGACGAUCAGCCACACUGGGACUGAGACACGGGCCAGACUCCUACGGGAGGCAGCAGUGGGGAAUUUUGGACAAUGGGGGCAACCCUGAUCCAGCAAUGCCGCGUGAGUGAAGAAGGCCUUCGGGUUGUAAAGCUCUUUUGUCAGGGAAGAAACACCGGCUCUAACACAGUCCGGGAAUGACGGUACCUGAAGAAUAAGCACCGGCUAACUACGUGCCAGCCGCCGCGGUAA
rnacentral:rRNA from 1 species